UUGGAGGGCAAGUCUGGUGCCAGCAGCCGCGGUAAUUCCAGCUCCAAUAGCGUAUAUUAAAGUUGUUGCAGUUAAAAAGCUCGUAGUUGAAUUUCGGGAUUGACGUGAUGGUCAUGCCUUAAGGGGUAUGAACUGUCACUGUUGAUUUCUCACCUUCUGGAGAAACUUGAUGUCCUUUAUUGGGUGUCUUGCGGAUCCAGGACCUUUACCUUGAAAAAAUUAGAGUGUUUAGAGCAGGCAUUUUUGCUCGAAUACAUUAGCAUGGAAUAAUAGAAUAGGACGGCAUGGUUCUAUUUUGUUGGUUUCUAGGAUCACCGUAAUGAUUAAUAGGGAUAGUUGGGGGCAUUAGUAUUCAAUUGUCAGAGGUGAAAUUCUUGGAUUUAUUGAAGACUAACUACUGCGAAAGCAUUUGCCAAGGAUGUUUUCAUUAAUCAAGAACGAAAGUUAGGGGAUCGAAGACGAUCAGAUACCGUCGUAGUCUUAACCAUAAACUAUGCCGACUAGGAAUCAGACGAUGUUAAUUUUUUAAUGACUCGUUUGGCACCUUACGGGAAACCAAAGUGUUUGGGUUC
rnacentral:rRNA from 1 species